AGCUCCAAUAGCGUAUAUUAAAGUUGUUGCGGUUAAAAAGCUCGUAGUUGGAUUUCUGUCAGUGAGUGAUGCUCCGCCCCUCGUGGUGAGUAGCCAUCAUGCCGCUGGCAUCUUCUUGGGGAGUGUAUCUGCACUUCACUGUGUGGUGCACAAGCCAGGACUUUUACUUUGAGGAAAUGAGAGUGUUUCAAGCAGGCGCACGCCGUGAAUACGUUAGCAUGGAAUAAUAGCAUCGGACCUCGCUCCAAAGCUGUUGGUUUCUUGGGUCGAGGUAAAGGUGAAUAGGGAUUGUUGGGGGCAUUCGUAUUUAACUGUCAGAGGUGGAAUUCUUGGAUUGCGUUACGACGAACUACUGCGAAAGCAUUUGCCAAAGAUGUUUUCA
rnacentral:rRNA from 1 species